rnacentral:rRNA from 1 species
CCUACGGGAGGCAGCAGUGGGGAAUAUUGGACAAUGGGGGGAACCCUGAUCCAGCGACGCCGCGUGAGUGAAGAAGUAUUUCGGUAUGUAAAGCUCUAUCAGCAGGGAAGAAAGAAAUGACGGUACCUGACUACGAAGCCCCGGCUAACUACGUGCCAGCAGCCGCGGUAAUACGUAGGGGGCAAGCGUUAUCCGGAUUUACUGGGUGUAAAGGGAGCGUAGACGGCGAUGCAAGUCUGAAGUGAAAGGCGGGGGCCCAACCCCCGGACUGCGUUGGAAACUGUAUGGCUGGAGUGCAGGAGAGGUAAGUGGAAUUCCUAGUGUAGCGGUGAAAUGCGUAGAUAUUAGGAGGAACACCAGUGGCGAAGGCGGCUUACUGGACUGUAACUGACGUUGAGGCUCGAAAGCGUGGGGAGCAAACAGGAUUAGAUACCCCAGUAGUC